CGGACGGGUGAGUAACGCGUGAGAAUCUGCCCUCAGGAGGGGGACAACAGCUGGAAACGGCUGCUAAUACCCCAUAUGCCGAAAGGUGAAACGAUUUUUCGCCUGAGGAUGAGCUCGCGUCUGAUUAGCUGGUUGGUGGGGUAACGGCCUACCAAGGCUUCGAUCAGUAGCUGGUCUGAGAGGACGAUCAGCCACACUGGGACUGAGACACGGCCCAGACUCCUACGGGAGGCAGCAGUAGGGAAUUUUCCGCAAUGGGCGAAAGCCUGACGGAGCAACGCCGCGUGAGGGACUAAGGCCUUUGGGCUGUAAACCUCUUUUCUCAAGGAAGAAGAUCUGACGGUACUUGAGGAAUAAGCCACGGCUAAUUCCGUGCCAGCAGCCGCGGUAAUACGGGAGUGGCAAGCGUUAUCCGGAAUUAUUGGGCGUAAAGCGUCCGCAGGCGGCCGUUUAAGUCUGUUGUUAAAUCGUGGAGCUCAACUCCAUCACGGCAAUGGAGACUGUUCGGCUUGAGUAUGGUAGGGGCAGAGGGAAUUUCCGGUGUAGCGGUGAAAUGCGUAGAUAUCGGGAAGAACACCAGUGGCAAAAGCGCUCUGCUGGGCCAUUACUGACGCUCAUGGACGAAAGCCAGGGGAGCAAAAGGGAUUAGAUACCCCAGUAGUC
rnacentral:rRNA from 1 species